UACGAGGGGGGGCAAGCGUUGUUCGGAAUUAUUGGGCGUAAAGGGGUGCGUAGGCGGUUUGGUAAGUCUUAUGUGAAAUCUACAGGCUCAACUUGUAGUCUGCAUGAGAAACUGCCGGGCUUGAGUAUGGGAGAGGUGAGUGGAAUUCCUGGUGUAGCGGUGAAAAUGCGUAGAUAUCAGGAGGAACACCUGUGGCGAAAGCGGCUCACUGGACCAUAACUGACGCUGAUGCACGAAAGCUAGGGGGAGCAAACAGG
rnacentral:rRNA from 1 species